rnacentral:rRNA from 1 species
AGCGAACGCUGGCGGCAGGCCUAACACAUGCAAGUCGAACGAACGCUCCGUAAUUAUUGGCGGAUGGGGGUGGAACACGUGGGAACGGUCCUUUGUGUUCGGAAUAACUCAUGGACACGUGUGCUAACACCGAAUGUGCCCUUCUAGGGCAAGAUAUAUCGCCAUUAGAGCUGCCCGCGUCUGAUUAGCUGGUUGGUGAGGUAACGGCUCACCAAGGCGACGAUCAGUAGCUGGUCUGAGAGGAUGGCCAGCCACUCUUGGGCUGGGACACGGCCCAGAAUCUUACGCGAUGCAGGAGUGCGGAAUCUUGCGAAACCGGCUGAAGCCUGAAGCCGCCCUGCUGGGUGAAUGCUGAUGGUAUUAGGAUUGUAAAAUUCUUUCACCGGGGACGGUAAUGACGGUACCCAGAGAAGAAGCCCCGGCUAACUUCGUG